UACGGAGGGAGCUAGCGUUGUUCGGAAUUACUGGGCGUAAAGCGCACGUAGGCGGCUUUUUAAGUCAGGGGUGAAAUCCCGGGGCUCAACCCCGGAACUGCCCUUGAAACUGGAGAGCUAGAAUCUUGGAGAGGCGAGUGGAAUUCCGAGUGUAGAGGUGAAAUUCGUAGAUAUUCGGAAGAACACCAGUGGCGAAGGCGACUCGCUGGACAAGUAUUGACGUGAGGUGACGAAA
rnacentral:rRNA from 1 species